UACAUUAGCGUUACACUGUUUCAAAUUUUUAUUGAUAAUCAUGCCAUUUUUCCCUCCUUUUUUUUCUUAAUAGAUUAUAGAUAAAAUAACUCCCAAGAAAUUAAUAGAAUGGACUAGCCCAGGGCAUAUGGAAGAAAGGCAUAUGAACUUGCACUUGCCGCGCUUUGCAGUGGAGGCUAGUUGCGACCUGGAGGCCGUCCUGACAGCCAUGGGGAUGGAGGACGCCUUCAGCCAGCAGAAAGCUGACUAUGAUCCGGGAACGUCCUCACGCUCCGGGUCGCAUGCCCACAAGUUCCUGCACAGGCCCUUCUUGGUGGUAACCGAGGAAGGUUCGGAGGCUGCAGCUGCCACCAGUGUGGGCUUAGCUGUCACAUCUGCGCCAGAUUAUGAAAAUUUUCACUGCAAUCACCCUUUCCUGUUCCUCAUCAGGCACAAUGAGUCCAACAGUGUCCUCUUCUUUGGCCGAUUUUCUUCUCCUUAGGACAGUCAAUGCCCUGGCAUAAAACAACCACUACCACCGGUGUUAGAGCAUUAAUAAGAUUACGGAAAUAGACCAUUCUCUUAAAAAUCCUUUUACUUGAAUUCCAAGUUUACCAUCAAAAUCAAUGAUUAAUGACUGUAAUAGUGUGUGUAUUUAUAAUGUUCCUUGCAACUGAAAUGUUCUUUUGUUUGUGACAUGCAUAUAGUAAGUCAAAUCAAGGCUCCUUAAUACUCUUCCAUUGAUUUCUUCUGAAAGUAAAUCAGUGUCUUGUAGUUUUGUGCACUAAUGGAGAGAAACAGUCUCUUCAACAAAGACUAUGGGCUCGUGAUUUUGAGACUCCCACCAGUUCUAAUAUUUUGGUAGAUUAUAAUACAGGAGUAAAAGAAAACAAAAAUUUACUCAAUUCAUGUCUUACUUUUUUCUUUCUCAGCAAAUAGUGUGGCAAACUGAACAUAAAAAAGAGAAUUUAGAAACACAUUAGCAAAACAUAAAAACUCAAAAGCCAAAGCAAAAUAAAAUAAAACAAUAAACCAGGCAGAGAGGAUUCCCAUAUUUUCGUCCUCUGUUCUAACAGUAGAUUAUCCAUUGUCAGUUUCAUAAGCAUUUUGAUGUUGUGAAAUAAAUGUGAUCAUAAAAUAAAUUGCACUCAUUUUAAGCCUAGAACUUGAUGAGUUUUGAUAAAUGUGUACACUCGUGAAAACACCAUCACACCCAAGAUACGGAACAUAUGUGUCAUCCUCCAAGGUUCCCUUGUUCAGCUUCCCAGUCAAUUGCCCCUGUACAACUCCUGCCCAGGCAACUGCUGAUGUGCCUUCAAUCACUACAGGGUAGAUUUGUCCUUUCUAGAGUUUCAUUCAAAUGGAUUCAUGUAGUGUGUCCUUUUUCUGUGUCUAGCUUCUUUUGCUCAGCACUGCGUUUUUGAGACUCGUUGAAGCAGUUGGGAUAUCAGUAGUUGGUUACUUUCUACUGACAAACAGUAUUGCAUCAUCUGGAUAAACCACAUUUUGUUUACCCAUUUACCCACUGAUGGGCAUUUUUGUUGCUUCCAGUGUUUGGCAACUAUGCAUAAUGCUAUUACGCACAUUUGUGUAUAUAAGUCUUCGUGUGAACAUGUACUUUCCUUUCUCUUGGGUAGAUACCUAGGAGUGAAAUGGCUGGGUCUUAUGUAGACAUCAUAGACUGAGAUGUUGUGGUCUACAUACCAUUUUGCCUCCAUGGUAAAAUGGACACCCCACCAAAAAAAAAAAAAAAAAAAAAAUUGGUUGGACAUUGAGAUGAAUGAUUCCACACCUGCACCAAGAAGGGCUUCCUGCUCAACCCCAGUUGCUUUCACCUUUGGCAGCCUUUACAUGAAUUAUGAGUCCCCAAAUUCUACCAACUUUAUUGAAAAAGGAAUCUACAGAACGACCUUAGAUUAAUUAAGUAGUUUUUGCUUACUACAAUCUGCAAAAGAGAAGAGAAAAGAUACUGAUAUACAGAGCCAUCUUUUAUGCUGGAAAUCCCAUUUUAAUUUUUUCGUUUUCUGCAUUGGCCCAGCAAGUUUCUCGUUUACAACUUGAGCUGUGAACUUAAGCAACAGAAGACGUUUCCAGGGAUAACUAGCCAUAAAUUUACAGUACGUUUCCCUCUAUAUAUGAAUACAUUGACACUCUGGAUGUGAAAUAUGUAAAUCAGACACUUCUGGAUUGGAGUCAAGUGCAACUCUCCUCCUGGAAGCAUUUUUUUCCUGCCCCUCCCUAACUAUCUCACACAAUCCAGUCCUCCCAGAGUGCCUGCUGAAGCUUUUUCAUACUGUUAACUCUAUCGUAUUGAUAUGUUCUGUUCAAAUGAGUCUCCACUGCUAACUGGAGUCAUCUUUGCACGCUCAGCAUGUAGAGCAAUGUCUGGGAAUACAAGUGCUCAAGAAUCUGGUCAGUUCCUGGUCCCUGCACAUCUUUUUUUCCAAAUUGUAUCUCAAAGCUCUUAAUUUUUAUUUUUAUUUAUAUAUAUAUAUAUAUUUUGGCUGUGUUGGGUCUUCGUUUCUGUGCGAGGGCUUUCUCUAGUUGCGG